UAUUAGCCCCGAUAGCAGUGAAAUCCUUUUGUGCCAGAGUUCGGUACAAAAGAUUGUAACGAAUAGCGGGAAGAGCU
rnacentral:sRNA from 4 species